CCAAUAGCGUAUAUUAAAGUUGUUGCAGUUAAAAAGCUCGUAGUUGAAUUUCGGGAUCAAUAUUUCGGUCAUGCCGUUGGUAUGCACUGUUAUCAUUGAUUUCUCACCUUCUAAAGAACCGUAAUGCCAUUAAUUUGGUGUUACGGGGAAUCAGGAUUGUUACUUUGAAAAAAUUAGAGUGUUUAAAGCAGGCUCGCGCUUGAAUACAUUAGCAUGGAAUAAUGAAAUAGGACGUUUGAUCCUAUUUUGUUGGUUUCUAGGAUUGACGUAAUGAUUAAUAGGGAUAGUUGGGGGCAUUAGUAUUCAAUUGUCAGAGGUGAAAUUCUUGGAUUUAUUGAAGACUAACUACUGCGAAAGCAUUUGCCAAGGAUGUUUUCAUUAAUCAAGAACGAAAGUUAGGGGAUCGAAGACGAUCAGAUACCGUCGUAGUCUUAACCAUAAACUAUGCCGACUAGGGAUCGGAUGAUGUUAAUUUUUUAAUGACUCAUUCGGCGCCUUACG
rnacentral:rRNA from 1 species